ACGACGCUGCGGCGUGCCUAUACAUGCAGUCGAGCGAAGUUUUCUGGUGCUUGCACUAGAAAACUUAAGACGGCGAACGGGUAGAGUAACAACGUAAAGAACCUGCCUCAUAGACUGGGACAACUAUUGGAAACGAUAGCUAAUACCGGAUAACAGUAUUUCUCGCAUGAGAGAUAUUUAAAAGUUGGUUAUGCUAACACUAUGAGAUGGCUUUGCGGUGCAUUAGCUAGUUGGUGGGGUAAAGGCCUACCAAGGCGACGAUGCAUAGCCGACCUGAGAGGGUGAUCGGCCACACUGGGACUGAGACAUGGCCCAGACUCCUACGGGAGGCAGCAGUAGGGAAUCUUCCGCAAUGGGCGAAAGCCUGACGGAGCAACGCCGCGUGAGUGAAGAAGGAUUUCGGUUCGUAAAGCUCUGUUGUUAGGGAAGAAUGGAUAUGUAGUAACUAUACAUAUAAGAGACGGUACCUAACCAGAAAGCCACGGCUAACUACGUG
rnacentral:rRNA from 1 species